rnacentral:rRNA from 1 species
AUUGAACGCUGGCGGCAGGCCUAACACAUGCAAGUCGAGCGAGCGGCGGACGGGUGAGUAAUGUAUGGGAAUCUGCCUGAUGGCGGGGGAUAACUACUGGAAACGGUAGCUAAUACCGCAUACCAUCAGAUGCACCCAUAUGGGAUUAGCUAGUUGGUGAGGUCACGGCUUACCUAGGCGACGAUCCCUAGCUGGUCUGAGAGGAUGAUCAGCCACACUGGGACUGAGACACGGCCCAGACUCCUACGGGAGGCAGCAGUGGGGAAUAUUGCACAAUGGGCGCAAGCCUGAUACAGCCAUGCCGCGUGUAUGAAGAAGGCCUUCGGGUUGUAAAGUACUUUCAGUCGGGAGGCGUUACCGACAGAAGAAGCACCGGCUAACUCCGUGCCAGCAGCCGCGGUAAUUC